rnacentral:rRNA from 1 species
UAAUACGGAGGGUGCAAGCGUUAUCCGGAUUUACUGGGUUUAAAGGGUGCGCAGGCGGAUAUGUAAGUCAGUGGUGAAAUCUCCGGGCUUAACCCGGAAACUGCCGUUGAUACUAUAUAUCUUGAAUGCUGUGGAGGUAAGCAGAAUAUGUCAUGUAGCGGUGAAAUGCUUAGAUAUGACAUAGAAUACCUAUUGCGAAGGCAGCUUACUACGCAGAUAUUGACGCUCAUGCACGAAAGCGUGGGGAUCAAACAGGAUUAGAUACCCUGGUAGUCCACGCCCUAAACGAUGAUUACUCGACAUACGCGAUAUACAGUGUGUGUCUGAGCGAAAGCAUUAAGUAAUCCACCUGGGAAGUACGAUCGCAAGAUUG